UACAGAGGGGGCAAGCGUUAUUCGGAAUUAUUGGGCGUAAAGGGCGCGUAGGCGGCUUGGCAAGUGGAUGGUGAAAUCCCUCGGCUUAACCGAGGAACUGCCGUCCAAACUGCUUAGCUUGAGACCGGGAGAGGUGAGUGGAAUUCCCAGUGUAGCGGUGAAAUGCGUAGAUAUUGGGGAGGAACACCAGUGGCGAAGGCGGCUCACUGGACCGGUACUGACGCUGAUGCGCGAAAGCGUGGGGAGCAAACGGG
rnacentral:rRNA from 1 species